GUGGGGAAUCUUGCGCAAUGGGCGAAAGCCUGACGCAGCCAUGCCGCGUAGAUGAUGAAGGUCUUAGGAUUGUAAAAUCCUUUCACCGGUGAAGAUAAUGACUGUAGCCGGAGAAGAAGCCCCGGCUAACUUCGUGCCAGCAGCCGCGGUAAUACGAAGGGGGCUAGCGUUGCUCGGAUUUACUGGGCGUAAAGGGCGCGUAGGCGGACAUUUAAGUCAGGGGUGAAAUCCCGGGGCUCAACCUCGGAACUGCCUUUGAUACUGGGUGUCUUGAGUAUGAGAGAGGUGUGUGGAACGCCGAGUGUAGAGGUGAAAUUCGUAGAUAUUCGGAAGAACACCAGUGGCGAAGGCGACACACUGGCUCAUUACUGACGCUGAGGCGCGAAAGCGUGGGGAGCAAACAGGAUUAGAAACCCCAGUAGUCC
rnacentral:rRNA from 1 species